GACGAACGCUGGCGGCGUGCCUAAUACAUGCAAGUAGAACGCUGAAGGAGGAGCUUGCUUCUCUGGAUGAGUUGCGAACGGGUGAGUAACGCGUAGGUAACCUGCCUGGUAGCGGGGGAUAACUAUUGGAAACGAUAGCUAAUACCGCAUAAGAGUAGAUGUUGCAUGACAUUUGCUUAAAAGGUGCAAUUGCAUCACUACCAGAUGGACCUGCGUUGUAUUAGCUAGUUGGUGGGGUAACGGCUCACCAAGGCGACGAUACAUAGCCGACCUGAGAGGGUGAUCGGCCACACUGGGACUGAGACACGGCCCAGACUCCUACGGGAGGCAGCAGUAGGGAAUCUUCGGCAAUGGACGGAAGUCUGACCGAGCAACGCCGCGUGAGUGAAGAAGGUUUUCGGAUCGUAAAGCUCUGUUGUAAGAGAAAGAAACGAGUGUGAGAGUGGAAAAGUUCCACCACUG
rnacentral:rRNA from 1 species